AUCUUUUGAGUAUGAUGUAGUACACUUGCCUUCCAAGCAAGAAGAUUAAAAAAUUUUAAAAAAGAUAUCGAAGGU
rnacentral:tRNA from 1 species